AAAUUGAAGAGUUUGAUCAUGGCUCAGAUUGAACGCUGGCGGCAGGCCUAACACAUGCAAGUCGAACGGUAACAGGAAACAGCUUGCUGUUUCGCUGACGAGUGGCGGACGGGUGAGUAAUGUCUGGGAAACUGCCUGAUGGGGGGGAUAACUACUGGAAACGGUAGCUAAUACCGCAUAACGUCGCAAGACCAAAGAGGGGGACCUUCGGGCCUCUUGCCAUCGGAUGUGCCCAGAUGGGAUUAGCUUGUUGGUGGGGUAACGGCUCACCAAGGCGACGAUCCCUAGCUGGUCUGAGAGGAUGACCAGCCACACUGGAACUGAGACACGGUCCAGACUCCUACGGGAGGCAGCAGUGGGGAAUAUUGCACAAUGGGCGCAAGCCUGAUGCAGCCAUGCCGCGUGUAUGAAGAAGGCCUUCGGGUUGUAAAGUACUUUCAGCGGGGAGGAAGGGAGUAAAGUUAAUACCUUUACUCAUUGACGUUACCCGCAGAAGAAGCACCGGCUAACUCCGUGCCAGCAGCCGCGGUAAUACGGAGGGUGCAAGCGUUAAUCGGAAUUACUGGGCGUAAAGCGCACGCAGGCGGUUUGUUAAGUCAGAUGUGAAAUCCCCGGGCUCAACCUGGGAACUGCAUCUGAUACUGGCAAGCUUGAGUCUCGUAGAGGGGGGUAGAAUUCCAGGUGUAGCGGUGAAAUGCGUAGAGAUCUGGAGGAAUACCGGUGGCGAAGGCGGCCCCCUGGACGAAGACUGACGCUCAGGUGCGAAAGCGUGGGGAGCAAACAGGAUUAGAUACCCUGGUAGUCCACGCCGUAAACGAUGUCGACUUGGAGGUUGUGCCCUUGAGGCGUGGCUUCCGGAGCUAACGCGUUAAGUCGACCGCCUGGGGAGUACGGCCGCAAGGUUAAAACUCAAAUGAAUUGACGGGGGCCCGCACAAGCGGUGGAGCAUGUGGUUUAAUUCGAUGCAACGCGAAGAACCUUACCUGGUCUUGACAUCCACGGAAGUUUUCAGAGAUGAGAAUGUGCCUUCGGGAACCGUGAGACAGGUGCUGCAUGGCUGUCGUCAGCUCGUGUUGUGAAAUGUUGGGUUAAGUCCCGCAACGAGCGCAACCCUUAUCCUUUGUUGCCAGCGGUCCGGCCGGGAACUCAAAGGAGACUGCCAGUGAUAAACUGGAGGAAGGUGGGGAUGACGUCAAGUCAUCAUGGCCCUUACGACCAGGGCUACACACGUGCUACAAUGGCGCAUACAAAGAGAAGCGACCUCGCGAGAGCAAGCGGACCUCAUAAAGUGCGUCGUAGUCCGGAUUGGAGUCUGCAACUCGACUCCAUGAAGUCGGAAUCGCUAGUAAUCGUGGAUCAGAAUGCCACGGUGAAUACGUUCCCGGGCCUUGUACACACCGCCCGUCACACCAUGGGAGUGGGUUGCAAAAGAAGUAGGUAGCUUAACCUUCGGGAGGGCGCUUACCACUUUGUGAUUCAUGACUGGGGUGAAGUCGUAACAAGGUAACCGUAGGGGAACCUGCGGUUGGAUCACCUCCUUACCUUAAAGAAGC
rnacentral:rRNA from 2 species